GCCUGGGGAGUACGGCCGCAAGGUUAAAACUCAAAUGAAUUGACGGGGGCCCGCACAAGCGGUGGAGCAUGUGGUUUAAUUCGAUGCAACGCGAAGAACCUUACCUGGUCUUGACAUCCACAGAACUUAGCAGAGAUGCUUUGGUGCCUUCGGGAACUGUGAGACAGGUGCUGCAUGGCUGUCGUCAGCUCGUGUUGUGAAAUGUUGGGUUAAGUCCCGCAACGAGCGCAACCCUUAUCCUUUGUUGCCAGCGGUCCGGCCGGGAACU
rnacentral:rRNA from 1 species